AUGCAAGUCGAGCGGAAGGCCCUUCGGGGUACUCGAGCGGCGAACGGGUGAGUAACACGUGAGUAACCUGCCCCGGAUAACCCCGGGAAACCGGGGCUAAUACCGGAUAUGACCAUCUGUCGCAUGGUGGGUGGUGGAAAGAUUUUUUGGCUUGGGAUGGGCUCGCGGCCUAUCAGCUUGUUGGUGGGGUGAUGGCCUACCAAGGCGGCGACGGGUAGCCGGCCUGAGAGGGCGACCGGCCACAACUGAGACACGGCCCAGACUCCUACGGGAGGCAGCAGUGGGGAAUCUUGCACAAUGGGCGGAAGCCUGAUGCAGCGACGCCGCGUGAGGGAUGACGGCCUUCGGGUUGUAAACCUCUUUCAGCAGGGACGAAGCGUUUGUGACGGUACCUGCAGAAGAAGCGCAACUACGUGCCAGCAGCCGCGGUAAGACGUAGGGCGCAAGCGUUGUCCGGAUUUAUUGGGCGUAAAGAGCUCGUAGGCGGCUUGUCGCGUCGACUGUGAAAACCCGUGGCUCAACUGCGGGCUUGCAGGCGAUACGGGCAGGCUAGAGUUCGGUAGGGGAGACUGGAAGGUGUAGCGGUGAAAUGCGCAGAUAUCAGGAGGAACACCGGUGGCGAAGGCGGGUCUCUGGGCCGAUACUGACGCUGAGGAGCGAAAGCGUGGGGAGCGAACGGAUUAGAUACCCUGGUAGUCCACGCUGUAAACGUUGGGCGCUAGGUGUGGGGGGCCUCUCCGGUUUGCCGCAGCUAACGCAUUAAGCGCCCCGCCUGGGGAGUACGGCCGCAAGGCUAAAACUCAAAGGAAUUGACGGGGGCCCGCACAAGCGGCGGAGCAUGCGGAUUAAUUCGAUGCAACGCGAAGAACCUUACCUGGGUUUGACAUCGCCGGAAAUCCUUCAGAGAUGCCUUCGGGGCCGGUGACAGGUGGUGCAUGGCUGUCGUCAGCUCGUGUCGUGAGAUGUUGGGUUAAGUCCCGCAACGAGCGCAACCCUUGUUCGAUGUUGCCAGCGCGUUAUGGCGGGGACUCAUCGAAGACUGCCGGGGUCAACUCGGAGGAAGGUGGGGAUGACGUCAAGUCAUCCUUAUGUCCAGGGCUUCACGCAUGCUACAAUGGCCGGUACAGUGGGCUGCGAUACCGUGAGGUGGAGCGAAUCCCAAAAAGCCGGUCUCAGU
rnacentral:rRNA from 1 species